rnacentral:rRNA from 1 species
UACGUAGGGUGCAAGCGUUGUCCGGAAUCAUUGGGCGUAAAGAGCGUGUAGGCGGCCUUUUAAGUCCUGCGUGAAAUCCUGCGGCUCAACCGCAGACGGUCGUGGGAAACUGGAAGGCUAGAGUGCGGGAGAGGAGAGUGGAAUUCCCGGUGUAGCGGUGAAAUGCGCAGAUAUCGGGAAGAACACCCGUGGCGAAGGCGGCUCUCUGGAACGCAACUGACGCUGAGACGCGAAAGCGUGGGGAGCAAACAGG